CCUACGGGAGGCAGCAGUGGGGAAUAUUGGACAAUGGGGGCAACCCUGAUCCAGCAAUUCUGUGUGCACGAAGAAGGUUUUCGGAUUGUAAAGUGCUUUCAGCAGGGAAGAAGGAAGUGACGGUACCUGCAGAAGAAGCGACGGCUAAAUACGUGCCAGCAGCCGCGGUAAUACGUAUGUCGCAAGCGUUAUCCGGAAUUAUUGGGCAUAAAGGGCAUCUAGGCGGCCAGACAAGUCUGGGGUGAAAACUUGCGGCUCAACCGCAAGCCUGCCCUGGAAACUGCCUGGCUAGAGUGCUGGAGAGGUGGACGGAACUGCACGAGUAGAGGUGAAAUUCGUAGAUAUGUGCAGGAAUGCCGAUGAUGAAGAUAGUUCACUGGACGGUAACUGACGCUGAAGUGCGAAAGCUGGGGGAGCGAACAGGAUUAGAUACCCUGGUAGUCCCAGCCGUAAACGAUGAUUACUGGGUGUGGGCAUGAAGAGUGUCCGUGCCGAAGCAAAUGCGAUAAGUAAUCCGCCUGGGGAGUACGGCCGCAAGGCUGAAACUCAAAGGAAUUGACGGGGACCCGCACAAGCGGUGGAGCAUGUGGUUUAAUUCGACGCAACGCGAGGAACCUUACCAGAUCUUGACAUCCCGCGUAUGCCUGUGAGAGCGGGCAGUGCCUUCGGGAACGUGGAGACAGGUGGUGCAUGGCUGUCGACAGCUCGUGUCGUGAGAUGUUGGGUUAAGUCCCGCAACGAGCGCAACCCCUAUCGCUAGUUGCCAUCAUUAAGUUGGGGACUCUGGCGAGACUGCCUGCGAAGAGCAGGAGGAAGGUGGGGAUGACGUCAAGUCAUCAUGCCCCUUAUGAUCUGGGCUACACACGUGCUACAAUGGCCGGUACAGAGAGCUGCAAGGCGGCAACGCCGAGCGAAUCUUUAAAGCCGGUCCAAGUUCGGAUUGAAGUCUGCAACUCGACUUCAUGAAGUUGGAAUCGCUAGUAAUCGCGGAUCAGCAAUGCCGCGGUGAAUACGUUCUCGGGUCUUGUACACACCGCCCGUCACACCACGAGAGUUGUCUGCACCUGAAGUUACUGGUCUAACUUUUAGAGGAAGGUACCUAAGGUGUGGAUAGUGAUUGGGGUGAAGUCGUAACAAGGUAUCCGUACCGGAAGGUGCGGAUG
rnacentral:rRNA from 1 species